AACGUAGGUGGCGAGCGUUAUCCGGAUUUACUGGGCGUAAAGCGUGUGCAGGCGGGGGUCCCAGUGGUGGAUGAAAUUUCCCGGCUUAACCGGGAAGGGUUAUGCCAGACUGGACUUCUGGAGUGCGAGAGAGGGGCGUGGAAUUCCGGGUGUAGUGGUGAAAUGCGUAGAGAUCCGGAGGAACCCCAGAGGCGAAGGCGGCGCCCUGGCUCGCAACUGACGCUCAGACACGACAGCAUGGGGAGCGAACGGG
rnacentral:rRNA from 1 species